GGGUAUAUAGCUCAGUGGCAGAGUGCCUGCUUAGCAUGUAGGAGGUCCUGGGUUCAAUCCUCAGUACCUCCA
rnacentral:tRNA from 1 species